CCGUAGCCCAAGAGAUCGGGAUAACACCUGGAAACAGAUGCUAAUACCGGAUAACAACAGAUGAUGCCUAUCAACUGUUUAAAAGAUGGUUCUGCUAUCACUCUUGGAUGGACCUGCGGUGCAUUAGCUAGUUGGUAGGGUAACGGCCUACCAAGGCGAUGAUGCAUAGCCGAGUUGAGAGACUGAUCGGCCACAUUGGGACUGAGACACGGCCCAAACUCCUACGGGGGCAGCAGCA
rnacentral:rRNA from 1 species